rnacentral:rRNA from 1 species
UACGUAGGGACCAAGCGUUGUCCGGAAUCAUUGGGCGUAAAGAGCGUGUAGGCGGCUUGUUAAGUCUUGCGUGAAAUCUCGGGGCUCAACCCCGAGCGGUCGUGAGAAACUGGCAGGCUAGAGUGCGGGAGAGGAGAGUGGAAUUCCUGGUGUAGCGGUGAAAUGCGCAGAUAUCAGGAAGAACACCGGUGGUGUAGACGGCUCACUGGACCAUAACUGACGCUGAGACACGAAAGCGUGGGUAGCAAACAGG